rnacentral:rRNA from 1 species
ACAUAUACACAUAUACCCUAAAAAUACCAGUUCCUGUCUAAGCUCCGAAGUUAAGCAGGGUCAGCCCUUGUUAGUAACUGGAUGGGAGACCACCAAUAAAUCCCAGGUGUAGGAUAUAUU